UAAACAGGAAAAAUAAGUAAUA
rnacentral:miRNA from 1 species